rnacentral:misc_RNA from 1 species
GGCAAGUGGCAUUAGAACCAACCAACCAAGUAUUUUUGCGGAUAUAAUAGUUCGGUAACAUAAAACUGACAAUAUCUUUCAAGAAAUUUCGACUGACCAGUAUCUCCUAUGAACCUAAAAUGAAGCUGUCCGAUUUCUACAGCAACGUCGGUGGAUACCUGGGUAUCUGGAUAGGAGUCUCGCUCAUCUCCAUUAUGGACCUACUACGUAGGAUUGUCUCCCUCCUCGUCCUCUGUGUCAGGAAGAGGAAAAAGAGCAAGAAGAUAUUCCUUCGUGUUCCGAGAAGAAUGUCUGAGUUUUGAGAAUCGUGCAAUAACAAAAAAACCUUUCGUGUAUCUUUCAACCGAUGCAAAAUUAU